rnacentral:tRNA from 3 species
GCCUCGGUGGCGGAAUUGGUAGACGCGGCGGAUUCAAAAUCCGUUGUUAGCGAUAACGUGCGAGUUCGAGUCUCGCCCGAGGCACCA